rnacentral:misc_RNA from 1 species
AACGCAAAUUGCGCCUUCUUUCGGAAGGCAUGUCUGUUUGAGGGCACCAUUUAACAAAUAAUGUGCGCGUCGUUUUUACGAGCGACGUGCGCACGUUGAUGAGCUUUUCCGAAAAAACCAGGUUUUUUUGGUGGCGCAUAAUGAACAGCGUGGGCUUUUUCUUCGAUUCUCGUGUAGUAAAUCUUCAACGCUUGGGUUGAGAAAAAGUGCGUGCCGCGCAAUGGGUGUGGCGAAUUUUACCCCUGCCCCAAUGCCACUCUUUCCCUGCGAAAGAACAAUUUUUAUUCAGGGCCUCAAAUCAGACAAGAGUACCCGCUGAACUUAA